rnacentral:miRNA from 1 species
ACCAGUUUAAACUUCGACUCAUC